GAAACACAUACUUUUUUAAACAAUGCCUGACGUUGAACUGUUUGUCGCGCCAAUACCAAAGAUAGCUGUGCCCACAACAGACCAAAGAUAGAAAAUGAUAUUGAAAAUGAAGAUUUCUUUAAGUUUGGGAAUUCUGUUUUUUCUACAAUAUUCUUUUGCUGUACAAGGCGGUACGUCGUCGUGUCCGGACAAAACAACCUUGUCAUGCCAGGAUGAAGGGUUUCCCUGUCCAAGGAGUAAACCACACCCAAAAAUGACGUACUUCCGCCUAGAAGAUGGAACAGAAUGCUCAGCUUGCCAGGGAUGCUUUAAGUCAUAUGAUACAUGCCCUGAUGCGUCGUGUUGGACCCGAGUUCUUCCAAAGGAUUGUAAAACACUUAACAAAUAUUCCACCUUCAUGAAAAUCCCAGAUGAUGAGUGCAACACGUGCGAAGUGUAUUCGUGCAUUAACUGACCCGUCGGUGGACAGAAACUGAUGUUGAAAUGAAAAUCUAAUACAGUUUUAAACCGCCUUUUGUAUAUUUUCGUUGCCAUGAAAACAAAAUGACUGACAUUUUUAUUAAAUAUUGAAAUGUUUAACUCUGUUACAUUCAAGAACAUUUUGAAAAUUCAAUGCCUCACAUCAUUAUAUUCGUUUCUCUUAGCUCCCCGAUGCGAAAUUCUACAUGGCAAUGUUCUUAUGCAUAUAGCCGAAUUACACAAUCGAAAAAGCAUAAUGAUGAAUUAAAAUAGAUCUCGGAUUUGUUUUUGUCUGAAGAGAAGUUGUCUUAAUUUCAUUUUUGUCAUUGCCAAUGGUCUAUGGUUAACUAUGUGGUAGUAUUUCCACCUAUCAGAAUACAGUUCAAAAUGGUGCCACCUUUGUUUACGUCUAAAUAUGUUUCUUCAAUUACCGAUAAACAAUAUUUCGGGUUGAAUUUUAAUGCACUGUAAGAAAAUCGGACACCAAAUAUUUUUAACUGAUUCUUGACCCCAAAAUAAUGAUUGAUCAGUAUAUACGAACUGUUUCCCUACCUCCCAAAACGUUUAAGCUGUCUCCCCCUGCUGGCAAGGUUAUGCUGGUUGCUUUGUGGGAUUCAUGUGAUAUAAUACGCUCAUUUCAUGCAAAAAGGUCAAACUGUGACUGCUAUUAAAAUGCCAUUUUUUUUUUGUCUGAGAAUGUCAGCAAAUGUAGAAAAUGCAUCCCUCAGGCUCUUAUUCAUGACGGAAGGAACCAUAUUUAAGAAUCCAAGUAAAAGAUAAUUCAAACAGUUGAAACUUUUACCAAACAUUACAACACAACGACCAUAGGGCCUAAAUAUAGCCCUGUAAAUAGGUAGGGGUGGCUUUCAUUAAAUGUCUUUAUUUCUGUAAAAACCUAAAUUUUCUCGAUGAAACUUGGCUAUAUGGUUGGUAUUACAUCUUUCAAAUCAGUCAAGCUAGGAAUGAAAAAUUACUUCAGUUAGGAAUGACAGUUACUGCAGUACUUCGGUAGCUUGCACAGAGACCAAGGUUCAGUUGCAUUUUGGUUUGCUUGGGUCAAGGUCAUUAUUACACCUGUACUUAAAAUAUAAAAUGUGUUUUAAUAAAUAAAUUCUGUUAUAACUGA